UUACACUUUAUUUCAUUUUUUUUUUUAAAAUUCUUCUCUAAACAAAGGAUGGCCAUUAUAGUUAUUCAUUUGACUUUUGACAUUAAGUACAACCAUCUUUUAUCAAGUGUGGUAGCAUAAUAGCAGCAUGCUGAUAAGACUAUAGUUUGCUGUGACCCAUCUCUGUCCAUACUUAGAUAUUUCUUCUCAGCAUAUAUUUAUUUAGUGACU